rnacentral:rRNA from 1 species
UACGUACGGGGCGAGCGUUAUCCGGAAUUACUGGGCGUAAAGCGCGUGCAGGCGGACUAUUAAGUUGGGCGUGAAAUCUCCCGGCCUAACUGGGAGGGGUCGCCCAAGACUGGUGGUCUUGAGGACAGCAGAGGUGGGUGGAAUUCCUGGUGUAGUGGUGAAAUGCGUAGAGAUCGGGAGGAACACCAGUGGCGAAGGCGGCUCGCUGGGCCGGACCUGACGCUGAGACGCGAAGGCGUGGGGAGCGAACGGG